rnacentral:rRNA from 1 species
AUUGAACGCUGGCGGCAUGCCUUACACAUGCAAGUCGAACGGUAACAGGUCUUCGGAUGCUGACGAGUGGCGAACGGGUGAGUAAUACAUCGGAACGUGCCUAGUAGUGGGGGAUAACUACUCGAAAGAGUGGCUAAUACCGCAUGAGAUCUACGGAUGAAAGCAGGGGAUCGCAAGACCUUGUGCUACUAUAGCGGCCGAUGGCAGAUUAGGUAGUUGGUGGGAUAAAAGCUUACCAAGCCGACGAUCUGUAGCUGGUCUGAGAGGACGAUCAGCCACACUGGGACUGAGACACGGCCCAGACUCCUACGGGAGGCAGCAGUGGGGAAUUUUGGACAAUGGGCGCAAGCCUGAUCCAGCAAUGCCGCGUGCAGGAUGAAGGCCUUCGGGUUGUAAACUGCUUUUGUACGGAACGAAAAGCCCUGGGUUAAUACCCUGGGGUCAUGACGGUACCGUAAGAAUAAGCACCGGCUAACUACGUGCCAGCAGCCGCGGUAAGAC